rnacentral:rRNA from 1 species
CCUACGGGACGCAGCAGUGGGGGAUAUUGCACAAUGGGGGAAACCCUGAUGCAGCGACGCCGCGUGAGUGAAGAAGUAUUUCGGUAUGUAAAGCUCUAUCAGCAGGGAAGAAAAUGACAGUACCUGACCAAGAAGCCCCGGCUAACUACGUGCCAGCAGCCGCGGUAAUACGUAGGGGCCACGCGUUAUCCGGAUUUACUGGGUGUAAAGGGAGCGUAGACGGUUAUGUAAGUCUGGAGUGAAAUCCCCGCGCUCAACGUGGGGACUGCCUUUGAAACUGGCAAACUGGAGUGUGUGAGAGGAUAGUGGAAUUCGAGGUGUAGGAGUGAAAUGCGUAGAUAUCUGGAGGAACAUCGGUGGCGAAGGCAACUAUCUGGCACAUAACUGACGCUGAGGAGCGAAAGCGUGGGUAGCAAACAGGAUUAGAUACCCCAGUAGUC